CUUACAGUACACUUGUAGAUGCAUGUGACCAUUAAAGAUUGACUUAAGCUAUGGUAUAUUUUAAUCUAAAUAAAUUUUAUCUGCACUAAUAUAUCAUUUCCUCAAAUUUUUGCUGCAACCAACAAACUGCUUUGAGUUUGGACUAUGGAAGACAUGCGACUCUUGUUAUGCAUAAAAUUAAAAAGCUUCAAAGUCCAAUUAUAUUAGAAUUCCUGUUUAGAAAAUAUAGCUCAGGGUUAUUUUUGGGAUGAAAAUUGGGAAUCAAGCUGCUUUUGUGUAUUUUAAGGAUGAUGGUUUUCUAAUACUAAUUUCUUAAAAAAGAUUUUCUACUACUUUCAAUAAACUAAAUAUCUCAGAAAAUCUCAUCCAUACAAUAAAUUAAAUAAUUUUAUGAGUAAUAAUCAACAUUUAAAAGCACUUUCAAAUAUACUGUAAUUUGUAAAAUUAGACUACACCCUUGAAAGGAAAAAAAAUAAGUGAUAAAUAUAUAAUUGUUAUUUUUGAUAGAUUUAAAUAGAUUUGAUAGGUUGAAUAGAUAAAGAAGAAGAAGAGAGAAUUUGUGUCUAAUUCAUACUAUCUUCGUUAAGCAUCUUAGAAUUUAAAUACAUAGCAAA
rnacentral:lncRNA from 1 species